rnacentral:lncRNA from 1 species
UUUUCCCUUGAGGCAAAGCGUCCACCUGGAUUGCAAUACAAACACACUAUGAGUAGUUCUCCUUCCAGAAACUGAACCACAGGGUACAAAGAAGAAUACUAAAGACUAUAGUAGCAAACGUCUUUUGAUUCUUCUGCAUUAUUUUGUUUUCUAACAUUAAAAUGAGGGAUACACACUCAUGAACAACACUUCAACAAAAUUACCCACACACCAAAAGACAAAUUUAACCCAACAAGAGCAAAAAGAAAAGCAAAGCUAGAUAAACCCCAUGAACAAUACAAAAUGGGAAAUAACAUGAAAUGAAGAAAAGAUGAAAACUUUAACUUUUGAGGACGAGAAUCGGAAAUGGGGUUUGGUGGGAAGGGUUGGGAAUGGUUGGACGGCGAGGGGGGAGGGGUCGCGGCCGUACAGGAGCUAGAGGUGGUGGUGAGUAGAGGCCGACGUGGAGGUAGAGGCCGACGUGGAGGCAGAGGCCCAAAUGAGGGUAGCGGUGAAGACGAAGGUGGUGAUGACGGAGACGAUGGAGGUGACGACGGGGUCAGGGAAGUGGUGGUGGUGGUGGAGGAGGGUACAACGGUGGUGACAGAAGGUCAGGGAGGUGGUGGAGGUGGUUACGGGGGGCCACUAUGGUAGAGGUGAUGGUGGUCAGGAUGGGAGUACCGGAGGUGGUGAUCGUGGUCAUCCUAGAGGAGGUGAGGGCCUGAUGGAGAUGAGGCAGGUGGCCAGAGCUAGGGGUGUUCAUGGUUUUUUGGUGACUGAACAUAACACAAAGAAAAAAC